rnacentral:lncRNA from 1 species
GUAGUAAUACAGCAUUUUUUGUCCAUCUUUAAAUGCAACAGAGCUUAAAAAAUUAUACUCUUUCAUCCAGUUCCAGGUCACCUGCAAUUCUGUGACAAAGCUGCAUGUCCUUAAGUGCAAAAAAUUCUUCCAAUGUUAUAAUUACAGUAAGGGUGUGGGCCCGUGGGUCCCCCGUCCCCUUUGUCACAGAACCAGGCCAAACGCCUGUAAACCGUUGACAACUUCUGUUCAGUGCCACUGAACCUGCCCACAAGCAUGGACCCUAUUUGCAGCAAUGAUACAUACAUCUCAAGCUUGAAAGUUAGGUAUGAACUUGACAAAGUUUAAAUGUUUUCUGACUACAGUCACCCAGAGAAAACUAGUGACCAGAAAUCUGCUCAUUAUCUCUCAUCAUCUUGCA